UGCAGUCGUACGGUGUAGCACGGAGCUUGCUCCUCUGGAUCAGUGGCGAACGGGUGAGUAACACGUGAGUAACCUGCCCUUGACUCUGGGAUAAGCGUUGGAAACGACGUCUAAUACCGGAUACGAACCGUGGAGGCAUCUCCUGCGGUUGGAAAGAAUUUUGGUCAAGGAUGGACUCGCGGCCUAUCAGGUAGUUGGUGAGGUAACGGCUCACCAAGCCGACGACGGGUAGCCGGCCUGAGAGGGUGACCGGCCACACUGGGACUGAGACACGGCCCAGACUCCUACGGGAGGCAGCAGUGGGGAAUAUUGCACAAUGGGCGAAAGCCUGAUGCAGCAACGCCGCGUGAGGGACGACGGCCUUCGGGUUGUAAACCUCUUUUAGCAGGGAAGAAGCGAAAGUGACGGUACCUGCAGAAAAAGCACCGGCUAACUACGUGCCAGCAGCCGCGGUAAUACGUAGGGUGCAAGCGUUGUCCGGAAUUAUUGGGCGUAAAGAGCUCGUAGGCGGUUUGUCGCGUCUGCUGUGAAAACGCGAGGCUCAACCUCGCGCCUGCAGUGGGUACGGGCAGACUAGAGUGCGGUAGGGGAGAUUGGAAUUCCUGGUGUAGCGGUGGAAUGCGCAGAUAUCAGGAGGAACACCGAUGGCGAAGGCAGAUCUCUG
rnacentral:rRNA from 1 species